GCCUGGGGGGCUCAGUCGGUUGAGCGUCUGACUUCGGCUCAGGUCAUGAUCUCACGGCUCGUGGGUUCGAGCCCCGUGUCGGGCU
rnacentral:tRNA from 1 species